UCAGCUGGAGAAGAGCCAAUGCCCAUUCAUGCAUCUAAUUCAUGGUUGCAUGCACACACCAUAGUCAUUGGCUAAUCUGCCCACUUGCUGCUUGAGGAAGAGAACUCGUGAGUUUCAGCUUGAUGGAGUAAACACGCCUUUGUGCCUCUGUGGCAGAGUGCACCCCUGUAUUCACACCCUACCCACUAUUGUAUUAAUCUUUUGUACAAAAUAUGCCUUGUUAGGUAUAAUUGGAAAACUCAUAACUUGCUAGUCAAUAAUAUCAUGGUGAAAUGUAUGCAGCAACACGAUAGGUAAAGUGAUGAAUAUAAGCUGAAAUCGUCACUGAGGUGUGUUUACCGGACAAGUUUGGGGAAUGAGUAAAUCGGUUGCUCAAAACAAAAAGUUGGUGCCCCAGCCAGGUGUUGCCAAAGCUGAUGGGCCUUCACCUUUCACGUAGCCAUGAUUUGGCAAGGAAGCGGGACAGAAACAAACAGGUCUGCAUCUUAGCAAACGACAGCAUAAACCUCUCCCCCACCAGAUUCCUUUUGUCCUUGCUCAGCUGGAAAGAACUUUAUCUAGGGGUCACUCUCAGGAAAAUGCAUUUCAAAGGGUGACUGAACUAUAAAAGUGAGGGGCAAAAACAUGCCAAGUUAUCUUCCCCUACCCUUCUCUCUCUCUUUCUUUUCACCUAAGAAGAAAAAAGAAACAGCAGCUGGACUUUGGAAGCAGAUCCUGGCCUCAGAGUUUGGUCAGCAGCAUACUGAAAACAUGUGGAUUGUCACAAGAGGAGGAGGAUAAGCACUUUCAGAUCCCAUACAGACUAGUUGAUCCUUCCUGGAUUUGAUGAAUCUGGUUACAUCCUGACUUUACCUGAAAGGAGCAACUUGAGAGACUUUGUUCUUCCUGCUUUGGGGCUGGCUGACUGUCCAGUAUGAGGAUGGAAACCAUGAAGAACUUUGCAUGCUGAAAGAAAAGGAGUACUUUUGGCACCUUAGAG